UCCAAUAAGGCCCUCCCUACA
rnacentral:piRNA from 1 species